UGAGGAAUAUUGCACAAUGGGCGCAAGCCUGAUGCAGCAACGCCGCGUGCGGGACGAAGGCCUUCGGGUCGUAAACCGCUUUUCUGGGGGAAGAGCAAGGACGGUACCUCAGGAAUAAGUCUCGGCUAACUACGUGCCAGCAGCCGCGGUAAAACGUAGGAGGCGAGCGUUAUCCGGAUUUACUGGGCGUAAAGAGUGCGUAGGCGGUUUUCUAAGUUCGGUGUGAAAUCUCCCGGCUUAACUGGGAGGGUGCGCCGAAGACUGGGAAGCUGGAGUGUGGGAAAGGCAGGCGGAAUUCCUGGUGUAGCGGUGGAAUGCGUAGAUAUCAGGAGGAACACCGGCGGUGUAGACGGCUUGCUAGACCAUAACUGACGCUGAGGCACGAAAGCGUGGGUAGCAAACA
rnacentral:rRNA from 1 species